GAUGAAGAACGUAGCGAAAUGCGAUAAGUAAUGUGAAUUGCAGAAUUCAGUGAAUCAUCGAAUCUUUGAACGCACAUUGCGCCCCCUGGUAUUCCGGGGGGCAUGCCUGUUCGAGCGUCAUUUCACCACUCAAGCCUCGCUUGGUAUGGGGCAACGCGGUCCGCCGCGUGCCUCAAAUCGACCGGCUGGGUCUUCUGUCCCCUAAGCGUUGUGGAAACUAUUCGCUAAAGGGUGUUCGGGAGGCUACGCCGUAAAACAACCCCAUUUCUAAGGUUGACCUCGGAUCAGGUAGGGAUACCCGCUGAACUUAAGCAUAUCAAUAAGCGGAGGA
rnacentral:misc_RNA from 1 species